rnacentral:sRNA from 1 species
AGUGGGAGAGAGAGGAGGAAGGAGGAAGAAGAUGACUAGAGAGAGGAGAUGGUAUCCAUAUUAGCAUCACGUAAAAUCCCAGAUGGGUUGUGGCAAUGUUGGGCCAGAAUGACACUUUAAUAGAUUGACUUAGAUGCGCAUUUUAAAAGUACGGGAAACUAUAAACAAAUCUAGGGACCAGCCAUACACUUUAGAUUAGUAGAUAUAUAGUUGAAAACGAUGUGCAUUGGAGCAAUGGUGGACGCAAGGCUCAUUAAGGCCUGGUUUAGUUCCCAAAUUUUUUUCUCAAAGACAUCAUAUCGAAUCUUUGGACACAUGCAUGGAGCAUUAAAUAUAGAUAAAAAUAAAAACUAAUUGCACAGUUUGCAUGAAAAUCGCGAGACGAAUCUUUUGAGCCUAAUUAUUACAUGAUUAGCCAUAAGUGCUACAGUCGUGUCUGAAAACCAUUUUUGACAUCCGGUCAAAUAUCCGAUGUGACAACCAAACCUUUUCUUUUCACAAACUAAACACACCCUAACUUUUGCCUAGCCUGUCAGUUUUGACGUAGCUGAUACUGUGAUACAUCAUACCACUUUUGUGUGAUGUCAUAUUUUUGAAAUAAAACUCUUAGGAAUUUUUUCCAUCACUACGGAUACAACGUUCCUAGAAAUAUAGUGUACAGAGUAUGACGAAGUGUUCGGUAGUGUUUUUUUUAAAGAAAAUUACAGCAAAAGGUGGUAUGAAGUCUACUAAAAACACCGAGGUUUUAAAGAGACGCGUCAUAAUCUAGUCCAUCAUCAAACUAGUACGGGUUAUAUUUAUUUUGAGAUGCAUGACAGCGAAAGAGUGAUCCAAAGUCCACAUAAUGUUAUAUAUUAUGUUUUCUUAAAAAAAUGAUGUGUUGAUUUUUCUAUAUAAGUUUAACCACUCAUUAGAAAAUUUGAUGUAAAUAUGCAAAGUUGCUAGUCUAAUUUAAAUUAACUCUAGUGAUAAAAUAUAUCAUAAUAAAAUAAACGAUGCUGACAAAUUAAGUUUUUUCAAUGACAAAUUAUUAGAUGUCAUGUCUAACAUUAAAAUUCUCAUAUAUUAUAAAGUGGGAUUGAGAUUCUCUAAUUUACUUACUGACGGUGAUACA